rnacentral:rRNA from 1 species
AGAGUUUGAUUAUGGCUCAGGAUGAACGCUGGCGGCGUGCCUAACACAUUCAAGUCGAACGAACUGUAGAAAUACAGUGAGGUGGCGGACGGGUGAGUAACGCGUAAGCAAUCUGCCCUUUGUGUGUGGAAUAACAACCGGAAACAGUUGCUAAUACCGCAUAACGCAGAGAGAUCGCAUGGUCUUUCUGCCAAAGAUUUAUCGCACAAAGAUGGGCUUGCGUCCGAUUAGAUAGUUGGCGGGGUAACGGCCCACCAAGUCAACGAUCGGUAGCCGGACUGAGAGGUUGAACGGCCACAUUGGAACUGAGAUACGGUCCAGACUCCUAUGGGAGGCAGCAGUGGGGAAUAUUGGGCAAUGGACGAAAGUCUUGACCCAGCGACGCCGCGUGAGGGAAGAAGGUCUUCGGAUUGUAAACCUUAGUCAACAGGGACGAAGCAAGUGACGGUACCUGUGGAGGAAGCCACGGCUAACUACGUGCCAGCCGCCGC